AGCCUCGGUCUGUGAAAGUGGGCACAGCUGGUCCUGGGGUGCAGAGGGGCAGCUGGGGCUGCAGGAUGACAGGCACCGUGGGUUAGUUUCAGUGGUGACAAUGAGGCCUGUAACACUU
rnacentral:snoRNA from 1 species